rnacentral:rRNA from 1 species
CAGCGAAAUGCGAUAAGUAAUGUGAAUUGCAGAAUUCAGUGAAUCAUCGAAUCUUUGAACGCACCUUGCGCUCCUUGGUAUUCCGAGGAGCAUGCCUGUUUGAGUGUCAUUA